UACGGGGGGGGCAAGCGUUGUUCGGAAUUACUGGGCGUAAAGGGCUCGUAGGCGGCCAAGUAAGUCAGACGUGAAAUCCCUCGGCUUAACCGGGGAACUGCAUCUGAUACUGGAUGGCUCGAGUUUGGGAGAGGGAUGCGGAAUUCCAGGUGUAGCGGUGAAAUGCGUAGAUAUCUGGAGGAACACCGGUGGCGAAGGCGGCAUCCUGGACCAACACUGACGCUGAUGAGCGAAAGCCAGGGGAGCAAACAGG
rnacentral:rRNA from 1 species